AAGAAGUCCAAGAAAAGUAACCACCCAACAAAACCAUCCUCAAUUUUCUUUACUGAACAUCAAUGCUCAAGACCUUGCUCGACCUCGACACCUUAGGAAUGGUAAUGUACAGCACUCCAUCCUUCACCUCCGCCUUAAUCUUCUCCACCUCAACAUUAUCAGGCAGAGCAAUCCUGCUGUUGUACCGCCCAUAGCUCUCCGGAGACCACUCUUCUUCUCCUUCUCCUUCACCUUCCUUUGGUAGCUUCUCGGCCUUGACAACCAGCAUCUUCUCCUCCACCCACAUCUUGACAUCCUUCUUUG
rnacentral:misc_RNA from 1 species